AGAGCGCAACAGGGCGCUUCGUUGCGCCGGUGCCGGGCUGUGCAGCUACACAAGCCCGAGGUGCCGGCUGAGCUUUGUUGCCCUCGUCUCCAAAAAAAGGCAUACUGGUGCUGGGAAGGAUUCCCAGUGAAAGGUGUUCACCUGGAAAGAAACUUGAUGCCAUAAACUUGCUUCAUAGCAGAGUGACAACUUAAGAUGGACGUUAUGGAACGGACUUUGCCUCAGAGAACGUAGUGCCCAUGGUCCAUUCCUGUUCAUGUAGAUACAGUUGAAGUCCAUGCCACUUUUUUCCACUGCUGGUUUUACCUGCGGUAACUAGGUUAAGAUUAACGCAAAUAAAGCUUUUACCC